CAGGGGCAUGAAGGGGAUGUGCUUCCAGGGCAUUUGCUGGCAGGGUGUCUCGUGAUCUCUUGGUAUUGGUGUGAGCACAGCCUGGCAGGAGAGGGCAGAUCUCAGUGCAAAGUAUCAUGUCAAAAAGCAGAUCGAAGCCAGGCCCCCUCCUGGAAGAGGCUCCUUGAAGAUAAUUCUAACAUCUUUGUCAUCAGUGUUGACAUCUCUUGAUUGUAUCCUGUCAUUCCAUUUGAGAUCAUCCUGGUUCUGGCUGGCAUCCUCUGACAUCACUCCAGCAGAAGAAAGGGAAGGAUCAUGCCGCAUUACUGCCUGGUCACAAGGUCCCUAUCUGAUCUGCCUUCACUCCACCUUUCAGAGUCUUAUGUUUGUUUUGUAUAUAUUAUCAAGGGGUUUUAGGUCACUUAGUUGGAAGAAUAGGGAAAAGUAUAUCUACUCUAGUUUUGUGGAAGUGGAAUUCUUCUGAGAACCUCUUUUUUGAUACAAAAUAUGUACUUGUGCAUAUUUUGUAUCAAAAUAUAUAAUGUACAUGUCCAUUUUGUACAUGUAUAUAAAUUGUAUAUAAGUAUUUAGGGUUAUAAAAAUAACCAAAGACACCAAAAACUGCCACAGGUGGAUUUGAGAAGACGUUGAAAUGCCUCCCCUGCUAAGACACGCUCCUCCUUGACAGAGUGGGAACCCUGAAAGCUGUAGUGUCACCACUGCCCUAUCCUGUACCUACCUAUCUUUUGACUCAUUUCCUCCAAGCUCAGGUUUUCAGUUUUGGGUGUGUGCCACCUAAAACUGAGCUGUGGAACUGCAGCACAAUCAUCAAAUUCAAAAAAGGCAAGGACAUCUUGCUCAGAUUUUAAGAUACACCAUAGAUGGAGUAAACUAAAACCUUUGAUUCCAGAUCCUUAACCCCAAUUAAAAACAACACAACCCUUCAUGCCUAUUUAAAACGUCCCUUGCAAAAGAUGGUUUGAAUAUUCCAAGUUGGAAAUACCCAGUCUUUUUAAGUUACAGCACCCUUUUUGAUACAAAAAAUGGGCAUGACAGAAAUUGUAUAGUGAGUAGUGUUAUAAAAAUAACCAAACACACCAAAAA